UCAUUUGACUUUUAUUUAACAAGGUAGGCCGUUGACAACAGGUUCUCAUUUGCAACGGCAACCAGGCCAAGAAAAGCAUAAGCAUGCAAGACAACAUACAGUUUCACAUUCAAUACAACACAACAAUACAGAAUACAAUGAGACUACAUAAAAUACAGC